GACUGUGAUGAGCCAGGGCAGCUUUUCUGGC
rnacentral:piRNA from 1 species